AAGCGAUGUUGGCCAAAAAGGCACUCUUAUCACGCACAUCACAAGACUUGGCAACCCACGUUGCCUGAAGCUUGUGUUUGAGCGAGACAGCCUUCCCUCACACGUCAAAGUUGGCCACGUUCA
rnacentral:lncRNA from 1 species